UCCUGAUUAGCUCAUUUGGUAGAGCAUUCCACUGGAAAUGGAGAGGUCCCUUCGUUCCAUACCAGGACCAGGAG
rnacentral:tRNA from 1 species